ACGAAAGCGUGGGUAGCAAACAGGAUUAGAUACCCUGGUAGUCCACGCCGUAAACGAUGAUUACUCGAUGUGUGCAAUAUAUCGUACGCGUCUGAGCGAAAGCAUUAAGUAAUCCACCUGGGGAGUACGGCCGCAAGGUUGAAACUCAAAGGAAUUGACGGGGGCCCGCACAAGCGGAGGAACAUGUGGUUUAAUUCGAUGAUACGCGAGGAACCUUACCUGGGCUUAAAUGUAUUCUGACGUUCCGGGAAACUGGAAUUCCCUUCGGGGCAGAUUACAAGGUGCUGCAUGGUUGUCGUCAGCUCGUGCCGUGAGGUGUCGGGUUAAGUCCCAUAACGAGCGCAACCCCUAUUGUUAGUUGCCAGCGGAUAAUGCCGGGGACUCUAACGAAACUGCCAGUGUAAACUGUGAGGAAGGUGGGGAUGACGUCAAAUCAGCACGGCCCUUACGUCCAGGGCUACACACGUGUUACAAUGGUCGGUACAAAGGGCAGCUACCACGCGAGUGGAUGCUAAUCUCCANAACCGAUCUUAGUUCGGAUUGAAGUCUGCAACUCGACUUCAUGAAGCUGGAUUCGCUAGUNAUCGCACAUCAGCCAUGGUGCAGUGANUACGUUCACGGGCCUGUACACACCGCCCGUCAAGCCAUG
rnacentral:rRNA from 1 species